AGUCAUACGCCUUAUCCAUACCCCAGGGCCUGCUACAGGGGUAUGGAUAAGGCGUAUGACUCA
rnacentral:pre_miRNA from 1 species